UGCGGCCUGGGGCAGCGCAAACCCCACUUUAGGGUGGAAAACACAAGGUUGAGCUGAUCCAGGCCUGGC
rnacentral:pre_miRNA from 1 species